AGUCGAACGGACUAUUGGUAAUGAUUUUGGAAUAUCAGUAUGUCGGGGUUUUCUCUGAUAUCUGAUAUCUGAUUUCUGUCCUCUAGUUAGUGGCGAACGGGUGAGUAACACGUGGAUAACCUGCCUUAUACUUUGGGAUACCUUCGGGAAACUGAAGUUAAUACCAAAUAAGCACACCAAUAUCGCAUGGUAUAGUGUGAAAAGUUUUGGCUUAAUGCCUUUGCGGUAUAAGAGGGGUCCGCGUUCAAUUAGCUAGUUGGUGAGAUAACAGCUCACCAAGGCUACGAUUGAUAGCCGGGAUGAGAGUCUGAACGGCCACAUUGGGACUGAGACACGGCCCAAACUCCUACGGGAGGCAGCAGUCGGGAAUAUUGCACAAUGGGGGAAACCCUGAUGCAGCAACGCCGCGUGAAGGAAGAAGGCCUUCGGGUUGUAAACUUCUUUAGGCAGGGAUGAAUAAAAUGACAGUACCUGCAGAAUAAGCACCGGCUAAAUACGUGCCAGCAGCCGCGGUAAUACGUAUGGUGCAAGCGUUAUCCGGAAUUACUGGGUGUAAAGGGUGAGUAGGCGGUUAUUUAAGUCACAUGUGAAAUCCUUGGGCUCAACCCGAGAACUGCAUGAGAAACUGGAUAACUAGAGU
rnacentral:rRNA from 1 species